AUUGAACGCUGGCGGCAGGCCUAACACAUGCAAGUCGAACGAGUGGCGGACGGGUGAGUAAUGUCUGGGAAACUGCCUGAUGGAGGGGGAUAAAUACUGGAAACGGUAGCUAAUACCGCAUACACUCGGAUGAGCCCAGAUGGGAUUCGCUUGUUGGUGGGGUCACGGCUCACCAAGGCGACGAUCCCUAGCUGGUCUGAGAGGAUGACCAGCCACACUGGAACUGAGACACGGUCCAGACUCCUACGUGAGGCAGCAGUGGGGAAUAUUGCACAAUGGGCGCAAGCCUGAUGCAGCCAUGCCGCGUGUAUGAAGAAGGCCUUCGGGUUGUAAAGUACUUUCAGCGGGGAGGCGUUACCCGCAGAAGAAGCACCGGCUAACUCCGUGCCAGCAGCCGCGGUAAUUC
rnacentral:rRNA from 1 species